AUCAUGUCAAGAUGGAUGGGAGCUUUGAAGGCUAACGGGCUAAGAGGACUCAGUCAAGUAAGCGAACGAGAAUACGGACGCGCAAGGCUAUACAUGUUGGAUGUUUCAUCUAGAAGCGUACGCGGUUGAAGAUCGAGUCAAGACACGGAUUGUAUGUGGGUGUAUACGUAGUCACUUAAUUGAGUCAUGUAUGUUAGUUUUGCAUUAAAUUAUAAAAGAGAUUAAUGUAUUUAAAUGAAA